UCUUCUUCUCCUCAUCUGUUCAGUAUUCUUCUUCUCCUCCUCCUCCUCCUCUGUUCAGUAUUCUUCUUCUUCUCCUCCUCCUCUGUUCAGUAUUCUUCUUCUCCUCCUCCUCCUCUGUUCAGUAUUCUUCUUCUCCUCCUCUGUUCAGUAUUCUUCUUCUCCUCCUCCUCCUCUGUUCAGUAUUCUUCUUCUCCUCCUCCUCCUCUGUUCAGUAUUUCUUCUCCUCCUCCUCCUCCUCUGUUCAGUAUUCUUCUUCUCCUCCUCCUCCUCCUCUGUUCAGUAUUCUUCUUCUCCUCCUCUGUUCAGUAUUCUUCUUCUCCUCCUCCUCCUCCUGUUCAGUAUUCUUCUUCUCCUCCUCCUCCUUAUUCUUCUUCUCCUCCUCCUCUGUUCAGUAUUCAUCUUCUCCUCCUCCUCUGUUCAGUAUUCAUCUCCUUCUCCUCCUCCUCUGUUCAGUAUUAAUCUCCUCCUCCUCUGUUCAGUAUUCAUCUCCUCCUCUGUUCAGUAUUCAUCUCCUCCUCCUCCUCC
ensembl:lncRNA